rnacentral:rRNA from 1 species
UGGGGAAUAUUGGACAAUGGGCGCAAGCCUGAUCCAGCCAUGCCGCGUGAGUGAUGAAGGCCCUAGGGUUGUAAAGCUCUUUCAACGGUGAAGAUAAUGACGGUAACCGUAGAAGAAGCCCCGGCUAACUUCGUGCCAGCAGCCGCGGUAAUACGAAGGGGGACUAGCGUUGUUCGGAUUUACUGGGCGUAAAGCGCACGUAGGCGGAUCGUUAAGUGAGGGGCUGAAAUCCCAGGGCUCAACCCUGGAAACUGCCUUUCAUACUGGCGAUCUGGAGUUCGAGAGAGGUGAGUGGAAUUCCGAGUGUAGAGGUGAAAUUUCGUAGAUAUUCGGAGGAACACCAGUGGCGAAGGCGGCUCACUGGCUCGAUACUGACGCUGAGGUGCGAAAGCGUGGGG